rnacentral:ribozyme from 1 species
GCUGCUCUGAUAAUCACACACCUCUUCGUGGUGAGCAGUAGGCAACGCUGAUAUGGCGGCUAAGUGUGAGA